GACGAACGCUGGCGGCGUGCCUAAUACAUGCAAGUCGAGCGGACUUUCAAGAAGCUUGCUUUUUGAAAGUUAGCGGCGGACGGGUGAGUAACACGUGGGCAACCUGCCUGCAAGACGGGGAUAACUCCGGGAAACCGGGGCUAAUACCGGAUAAUAUCUUCCUUCGCAUGAAGGAAGGUUGAAAGGCGGCGCACGCUGCCGCUUGCAGAUGGGCCCGCGGCGCAUUAGCUAGUUGGUGAGGUAACGGCGCACCAAGGCGACGAUGCGUAGCCGACCUGAGAGGGUGAUCGGCCACACUGGGACUGAGACACGGCCCAGACGCCUACGGGAGGCAGCAGUAGGGAAUCUUCCGCAAUGGACGAAAGUCUGACGGAGCAACGCCGCGUGAGCGAAGAAGGGCUUCGGAUCGGAAAGCUCUGUUGUCAGGGAAGAACAAGUACCGUUCGAACAGGGCGGUACCUUGACGGUACCUGACCAGAAAGCCACGGCUAACUACGUG
rnacentral:rRNA from 1 species